UAUAUCACCAAACAAUCCCCUCCCUUUCCGAAGCAACGGCAGUACGGCUUUAGCAGCCGAAGCGACGUAGUCAUCAGGAGCGACAUCAAUGGUAGCGCGUACAUCCUUUGAGAAGAGAUAGAAGAACCUAGCGAGGAGAAAGAGACAUAUAUUGGGGUUUUCCGUCUUGCAUCGACGGCAGUUCGGCUUCGCCGACAGGAGCGGCGACAUCAGGAGCGACAUUAGUAGCAAAGCAGGUUCCUCAGAGCGACGACGGAGAGAGAAAACGAUGACCAUUGCGUGACGUAACCGAAUCAGGACAUCAACGAGUCUCUCCAAAGAUCCGCUCCUCUCCAUCCUGUUCCGGUAGAGAUGGAUCUGCAACACAUGAGACGUACAACUCCUUUUUUGCGGAGGUCGCAGUUCCUCCGACGUCAUUGACCGGACUCCCCCUGUUCAUCAGGGGGAGUCCACCGUCCCCUGGGACAGCGCGGCCUCCCACCGCCCCCGGGGUCCCAGGGGACCCAGUCCCCGAGGAUUUGUCUCCGGGGAUUCGGUAUCC